UCUAAAGUUGUGGAAAUGGUGUUUAAUUUAAACGCUCGUGGACAGAGCUCUUAAUUAGUCUUGAGCUUUUCACAGCAACAAUGGCUUCUAUCAAGAUCGCUUGGAGUUGGAUGUUCUUCAAACUGCUUUUCUUCACAGUGCUUCUCAUCGCCUCUACAGCUUCUCCAAUGGAACAUAACAUUAUUCCUAAUUCCUUUCGUAAGAUGAGGAUGGAGUAUAGAAGUGUUAGGAAGGCUGGGUUGGGAGCAAAGCCAGCAGUUCAUGAUUUCCCAUGGAAGGGUGGUUAUAAUCCUCCAGACAACAACCGUUGAUUUCCUAUUUUAUUGGAUCCAUAUAUUAUGCAACCUUGAACCAUUGAUGAUGUACUUUUUUGUUGCUUUGUUUCUUUAAUGUUCAUUUUGCUUUAAUUGAACAAAAGCUUUCAUUUUAUCUUUCAUAUUGAUUCGGUCUGCUAAAUUAUGAGGUUGGAAUAUUUUAGUCUUGUGAAGAAGUCGAGUGUUGUUUGCUAUUAUAAGACAUUGGAAGCGCAGUUGUCUUCUCUCUU